rnacentral:sRNA from 5 species
AUAUCUCUCCGUACGGGAAGGAUGAGAAGCUUCGACUAAGGUUCGAUUCGAGCGCAGCGAGAACGCGUUGCCG